ACAGCUAGGAAUGGUUGACCCCAGAUCCUGAAGAAAAUGAAUGCUAGGAAGAUUCCAGCACUGACCUACUGGCCUUUUGAGCUUUUAAUGUGAAGUUAGGGACUGGCGUGAAGAGCAGCUGGGCAGGGAAAAUAAACCAUGAUCUACUGCCGGGAUUCAGAAAAUUCAGUUCAUGAAUCACCGUAAAUCUGACUGGCCUGCUGUGAAGGGAGAUUACCCUAAUCCAUGACACUCUUCCCGGGAUCAUCCAGCCCCCUGUGCACUUCCCCCCAGGAGCCACUAAAGCCCAGAACAAAUCCCCUAUGGAAAGCUCUUGCAGUAGCCCUUCCCCUGCCUCAGAGUAAUAGGAGCUGUCUGUUAUCUCCAGCUGGAAAAUUAAAGUUCUACUUGGUCAAAGCCAAAAGGUAGCAGGAUGAAGUGGCUGCUAGAGCCUGACUUCCUACUAUGAAAAAGGCUGUUAAUGUCCUGCAGUGGAUGCUGACAUACAGCGAUGUGGUUCCAGACUUGAGCUCAGGAGGCAGGUGUUCGGGCUUCCGUGGUCGCUCAGUUGGUAA